GACGAACGCUGGCGGCGUGCUUAACACAUGCAAGUCGAACGGUAAGGCCCUUCGGGGUACACGAGUGGCGAACGGGUGAGUAACACGUGGGUGAUCUGCCCUGCACUUCGGGAUAAGCCUGGGAAACUGGGUCUAAUACCGGAUAGGACCAUUGCCUGCAUGGGUGGUGGUGGAAAGCUUUUGCGGUGUGGGAUGGGCCCGCGGCCUAUCAGCUUGUUGGUGGGGUGAUGGCCUACCAAGGCGACGGCGGGUAGCCGGCCUGGGAGGGGAACCGGCCACACUGGGACUGAGAUACGGCCCAGACUCCUACGGGAGGCAGCAGUGGGGAAUAUUGCACAAUGGGCGCAAGCCUGAUGCAGCGACGCCGCGUGAGGGAUGACGGCCUUCGGGUUGUAAACCUCUUUCAGCACCGACGAAGCGCAAGUGACGGUAGGUGCAGAAGAAGGACCGGCCAACUACGUGCCAGCCGCCGCCGUAA
rnacentral:rRNA from 1 species